ACCCGCUGAACUUAAGCAUAUCAAUAAGCGGAGGAAAAGAAACCAACAGGGAUUGCCCUAGUAACGGCGAGUGAAGCGGCAACAGCUCAAAUUUGAAAUCUGGCGUCUUUGGCGUCCGAGUUGUAAUUUGCAGAGGGCGCUUUGGCAUUGGCAGCGGUCCAAGUUCCUUGGAACAGGACGUCACAGAGGGUGAGAAUCCCGUACGUGGUCGCUAGCCUUUACCGUGUAAAGCCCCUUCGACGAGUCGAGCUGUUUGGGAAUGCAGCUCUAAAUGGGAGGUAAAUUUCUUCUAAAGCUAAAUACUGGCCAGAGACCGAUAGCGCACAAGUAGAGUGAUCGAAAGAUGAAAAGCACUUUGGAAAGAGAGUUAAAAAGCACGUGAAAUUGUUGAAAGGGAAGCGCUUGCAGCCAGACUUGCCUGUAGUUGCUCAUCCGGGUUUUUACCCGGUGCACUCUUCUAUAGGCAGGCCAGCAUCAGUUUGGGCGGUUGGAUAAAGGUCUCUGUCAUGUACCUCUCUUCGGGGAGAACUUAUAGGGGAGACGACAUGCAACCAGCCCGGACUGAGGUCCGCGCAUCUGCUAGGAUGCUGGCGUAAUGGCUGU
rnacentral:rRNA from 1 species